UCGGGAGGCAGUAGUGGGGAAUAUUGCACAAUGGGCGAAAGCCUGAUGCAGCUAUGCCGCGUGUAUGAAGAAGGCCUUAGGGUUGUAAAGUACUUUCAUCGGGGAGGAAAAAACAAAACUAAUAAUUUUAUUUCUUGACGUUACCCGAAAAAGAAGCACCGGCUAACUCCGUGCCAGCAGCCGCGGUAAUACGGAGGGUGCUAGCGUUAAUCAGAAUUACUGGGCGUAAAGAGCACGUAGGUGGUUUUUUUAAAGUCAGAUGUGAAAUCCCUGGGCUUAACCUAGGAACUGCAUUUUGAAACUGAAAUACUAGAGUAUCGUAGAGGGAGGUAGAAUUCUAGGUGUAGCGGUGAAAUGCGUAGAUAUCUGGAGGAAUACCUGUGGCGAAAGCGGCCUCCUAAACGAAUACUGACACUGAGGUGCGAAAGCGUGGGGAGCAAACAGGGAUUAGAUACCCGU
rnacentral:rRNA from 1 species